rnacentral:ribozyme from 1 species
UGUUACAAACCACACAAAUCUCUCACUGGGAAAGUGUUUACUGGUGGAAGACCCAGACAAAGUGGAACAGACCAGGAAAAAAGCAACGACAUUCAAAAUAUCAACGAGAUCCAACGGAGCGGGGAGGAGGGGGGUUGUUACGUACACACAACACGGUAUAUAAGCGCA